rnacentral:rRNA from 1 species
AGUGAACGCUGGCGGUAGGCCUAACACAUGCAAGUCGAACGGCAGCACAGUAAGAGCUUGCUCUUACGGGUGGCGAGUGGCGGACGGGCGAGGAAUACAUCGGAAUCUACUUUUUCGUGGGGGAUAACGUAGGGAAACUUACGCUAAUACCGCAUACGACCUACGGGUGAAAUCAGGGGAUCUUCGGACCUUGCGCGAUUGAAUGAGCCGAUGUCGGAUUAGCUAGUUGGCGGGGUAAAGGCCCACCAAGGCGACGAUCCGUAGCUGGUCUGAGAGGAUGAUCAGCCACACUGGAACUGAGACACGGUCCAGACUCCUACGGGAGGCAGCAGUGGGGAAUAUUGGACAAUGGGCGCAAGCCUGAUCCAGCCAUACCGCGUGGGUGAAGAAGGCCUUCGGGUUGUAAAGCCCUUUUGUUGGGAAAGAAAAGCAGCAGGUUAAUACCCCGCUGUUCUGACGGUACCCAAAGAAUAAGCACCGGCUAACUUCGUG